UUGUGUUUUAAAGAUGGUGCUAAACAUAGUCAGCCAGCUAGAAGCGAAAUGAUGAGAUUUUUCAAGAAAGAAGUGGAGGUUAUGAUCACUGUUUUUUAAAGAGAUGAAGUAGAAGAAGAGGAAAAAGUGACUGACGUCGGUCGUCCACGACAGGCGUGAAGCUACAACUUCAAAAGUUAACAUAAGUAACAUAUGGUGUGCAGAGAGUACAAAGUUUUGACUCAUUUUGGUUAUAUAUUUUUAUAUUUUGAUUUGUUUUUUGCUGUUGUGGUUAAUAUUGCAGUUCUGAGACACUUGUAUAAAGAAAACUAAAUGAUGUUCUUAUAUAUCAGACUUUCUGUACAUGUGUGGCUAUAAUGUGCAACUAUAAAAGUAUAUAUGCAUUCAUGCCCUGUUGGUCUAAUGGCUAUGACACUCUUAUAAAUGAGAGAUCAAAGUUCGAAUCCUGGACAGGGCUAGGAAAUACAUUAAUUAUGUUGCACAUAUAGCUAUACAUUGCAGUAUUAAGGAUAUUAUAUUCCGUAUACUAUGAUAUAUAUAUAUAUAUAUAUUCUGAUUUUUACCCUGACUUUUUACCUUUGCCGCAGGGAUCUGUGUUGGGCCCCUGCUUUUUCUUUUGUAUAUUGAUGACUUAAAAUCUAUCAUCAAUUCAAACCACCACCACCUAUAUUUGUGUCUUGCAAGCAUAACUUUAGGUUAUAAAAUUCUUUAUUAAGCUAUUAUAAAACAAUUUGCGUUUUGUCAUAUUAUUUGUGUCUUGCGUUAUUGUUCCAAGAUUCUGCAUAUAAUGUGCGUAAUUACCUUAUUCCAUGAAAUUACCCAGUUAUGAUUUUACACGCUUUUUUAUAAGAAUAUAAUUAUAAGAAUAUCGAGGCUGAGAAAUGGGUUAAAAUUAGAAAUAUCCUAAGAAUAUACCCAGGCUUAACUUCUUGUUUUAGAUAUGAAAAUUUGUGUGAUGCGCAGAUUUUGAUUAGAGGUUUAUUUCUUAUACUGUAUGUUUAUUUUCUUGUCGGAUCACCUGUCGUUUUCA